AUGAUGAAUGCCAGGUGAGCGUAAUGAUGACUGCCAGGUGCGCGUAAUGAUGAAUGCCAGGACCGGUGGUUAGUAAACCAGCAUGUUGAACACCGGAGGGGAGGAGCUGGAGUAGAUGUGACAAUAGCUCGACUAAUCUUGCUGCUGAUAACAAGGACCGUGACACCAGCUUUGGUAGUACAGAGCCUGCACUAUUUGGAUGAAAGCUUUCAGCCGGGAACAAGCUCAAGCUCAACGUCGUCUGACUCUGAAACAAGCCAGGGCAGCCAAAAGGAGACUUGCAGUACAAACAAAUCUUCUGCAAGAGGUCAAAACAGUGGGUGGUGAAGGUGUACAAGCCUAGAACCCACCUCUUCAUUCAGGGAGAGGCUUGUCCACCUGGCUGUGGCGUGCAGAAAGGACCAGACGGUUGUCUACAAGGAGCCAGAGUCACAGCGCCCUAAACCUAACAUUUCUGCCAACAUCACCACAGCACCAAAGCCUGCUAAACCAGCUGCCAUUAUCCAACACAAGAAGAGGUGCACCAGCUGAAGAGCAUUCUGGAACCUGCCUGGAACAUUCAGUCAGAGUUGUUGUAGAAUAAUAUAGAAUACCUAGUAUGCUCACAACUGCAUUGUGGUAUAGAUAUGGCUAGUUCCAAUGGUGUUUUAUAUAAUAUGUUUUACAAGUGUACUGACAAGUGAUCAAAUGAUUCCAGCUGCAUCAGAAACCAAUAAAGUGUCGACUUCAA